CCACUGCUGACGAGUCCAAAACAGGACGAAACAGCUGUUCAGUGU
rnacentral:hammerhead_ribozyme from 1 species